CGGAGGAUCCAAGCGUUAUCCGGAAUCAUUGGGUUUAAAGGGUCCGUAGGCGGUUUUAUAAGUCAGUGGUGAAAUCUGGUCGCUCAACGAUCAAACGGCCAUUGAUACUGUAAGACUUGAAUUACUUGGAAGUAACUAGAAUAUGUAGUGUAGCGGUGAAAUGCUUAGAGAUUACAUGGAAUACCAAUUGCGAAGGCAGGUUACUACAAGUAUAUUGACGCUGAUGGACGAGAGCGUGGGGAGCGAACAGGAUUAGAUACCCUGGUAGUCCACGCCGUAAACGAUGGAUACUAGCUGUUUGGAGCAAUCUGAGUGGCUAAGCGAAAGUGAUAAGUAUCCCACCUGGGGAGUACGCUCGCAAGAGUG
rnacentral:rRNA from 1 species